CCUACGGGAGGCAGCAGUGGGGAAUAUUGGUCAAUGGGCGCAAGCCUGACCCAGCAACGCCGCGUGAAGGAAGAAGGCUUUCGGGUUGUAAACUUCUUUUGUCAGGGAAGAGUAGAAGACGGUACCUGACGAAUAAGCCACGGCUAACUACGUGCCAGCAGCCGCGGUAAUACGUAGGUGGCAAGCGUUGUCCGGAUUUACUGGGUGUAACGGGCGUGUAGCCGGGUUGACAAGUUAGAUGUGAAAUCCUGCGGCUUAACCGCAGAACUGCAUUUGAAACUGUUGAUCUUGAGUACUGGAGCGGCAGACGGAAUUUCUAGUGUAGCGGUGAAAUGCGUAGAGAUUAGGCGGAACACCAGUGGCGAAGGCGGUCUGCUGGACAGCAACUGACGGUGAGGCGCGAAAGCGUGGGGAGCAAACAGGAUUAGAUACCCGGGUAGUC
rnacentral:rRNA from 1 species